rnacentral:misc_RNA from 1 species
UCUCCGUAGGUGAACCUGCGGAGGGAUCAUUGCAGAGCUCAUGCCCUACCGGGUAGAUCUCCCACCCUAUGUUAUUAUUACUUUGUUGCUUUGGCGGGCCGUUAGGCUCCGGCCCGACUACCGGCCCCGGCUGGUAAGCGCCCGCCAGAGGACCCAAAACCCUGAAUAUUAGUGUCGUCUGAGUACUAUAUAAUAGUUGAAACUUUCAACAACGGAUCUCUUGGUUCUG